rnacentral:rRNA from 1 species
AUUGAACGCUGGCGGCAGGCCUAAAACAUGCAAGUCGAGCGGAGCGGCGGACGGGUGAGUAAUUCCUAGGAAUCUGCCUGGUAGUGGGGGAUAACGUCCGGAAACGGGCGCUAAUACCGCAUACUAUCAGAUGAGCCUAGGUCGUAUGGGCUAGGUGGUGGGGUAAAGGCCUACCAAGGCGACGAUCCGUAACUGGUCUGAAUGGAGGAUCAGUCACACUGGAACUGAGAAACGGUCCAGACUCCUACGGGAGGCAGCAGUGGGGAAUAUUGGACAAUGGGCGAAAGCCUGAUCCAGCCAUGCCGCGGGUUUGAAGAAGGUCUUCGGAUUGUAAAGCACUUUAAGUUGGGAGGCGGUACCAACAGAAUAAGCACCGGCUAACUGCGUGCCAGCAGCCGCGGUAAUAC